ACCAUCCAUAGAAGGUUUAAGUCCUGUAGAGUUAAAAACUAUAAUUAGAGUAACAACGGAUUAUGAUAAAUUUGUUGAUAUUUUCGGGGAUCUACCCUCGAGCCUUAAUAAUCUUAAAUAACCGAUAGUGAACAAGUACCGUGAGGGAAAGGUGAAAUAGAACUUUUUUAGAGUUAAAAGAACCUAAAAUUCAGUGCAGACAAUCUGUUGGAGCUCUCUACGAGUGACAGCGUACCUUUUGCAUAAUGGACCAAUAAGUUUAUAUUUAUAGCAAGCUUAAUUAAAUUGUAGGCGUAGAUAAAUCAAGCUUUAAAAAGCUUUUGUAGUUAUAAAUAUAAGACCCGAAGCUGAGUGAUCUAACCAUGAGCAGGUUGAAAGCUUUAUAGAAAUAUAGGCCGGAGGACCGAACCCGUAUCUGUUGAAAAAGAUUGGGAUGACUUGUGGUUAGGAGUGAAAGGCUAAUCAAACUCAGGUAUAGCCGGUUUUCUGCGAAAUAUAUUUAAGUAUAGCCUACAAAUAAGUUGAGAUAGGGUAGAGCACUUUUAGGACACGGGGGAUUUUUAAUCUUACUUAAUCUUAAAAAACUUCGAAUAUGUCUUUAACAUUUUGUGGAGUCAGACUAUAGGCGCUAAGGUUUAUAGUCGAGAGGGAAACAGCCCAGAUUAUUCGAUAAGGACUUCAAUUAUUAUUUAAGUGAUAAGAUUGUAAAAAAAUUAAGACAAUCAUAAAGUAGGCUUGGAAGCAGCCACCUUUUUAAGAAAGCGUAACAGCUCAUUGAUCAAGUUUUUUUGCUUCGAAAAUGUAUAGAGACUAAAAAUAAUAUCCGAAUCGAUAAAAUUAUGGUAGCAGAACGUUCUGUACGCUUGAGAAGGUCAGUCGUAAGAUUGGCUGGAGGCAUCAGAAGUGAGCAUAUUGGUAUUAGUAGCUAAAACAAUGUUUAAUCAUUGUCGCCGUAAAUCUAAGGUUUCCGAUUCAACAUUUAAUGGAAUCGGAUAUUAAGCGGUCCUUUAGGCAAAUUACAAAUGUAUAAGCUGAUAGGAAAUAUAAGUGUGACAGAAUUUGAUUGAUAUUAUAAUUUAUUGAUUUAUUAUAGUAUUUAAAAAUUUUCCGGAAAUAGUACUUAUAGCAAAGACCGUACCCUAAACCGACACAGGUAGAUAGGUAGAAUAUACUAAGGCGUUCAAGAUAACUACGUUGAAGGAACUCGGCAAAUUUGCUCUGUAACUUCGGAAGAAAGAGUGACGCCAAGAGGGCAACCUUUUGGUGUUGACACUAAAGAGGAAGAAGCGACUGUUUACUAAAAACACAAGUCUCUGCUAAUUCGAGAGAAGACGUAUAGGGACUGACACCUGCCCGGUGCUGCUAGGUAACGUGGAUAUGCUAAGGCAUUGAAAUUAAGCCCCAGUAAACGGCGGCUGUAACUCUGACGGUCCAAAGGUAGCGAAAUUCCUUGUCGGGUAAGUU
rnacentral:rRNA from 1 species